UAUAUCUGAGUGGAUAGUCCAAAUUCCCAUCCAAAAUAUUUGUAGCAACAGACUGUCAAUUGUUGAAGUUUCUGACUCUACCAGUAUAGAUGCCUGACUAUGCAUAGAAUUAAAUUAAAAUUUAUAAUUUAUAGCAAUAAUUUAAUGAUAUAUAUGGAUAUCUUUUAAGCUAGAAAGGACAGGGCCUUAAAAGUCAGUUUGAAAAGAUAUGAAAAAAAUCAAUAAACAAAAUUUCAAUUCUUUUUCCAGAACCACCAAACAUAUCACUCUUUUCCUAGAGCUACUCAAUAAUUUUUAUUUAAUCAUUUCUGAGUUCAUUUUUCUAAAAUGUUUAACAUAGCUUAGAGAGAUUUUUGCCAGCCAGGGACAAUUGCUUUAAUUAAAGAAGUUUGUGCAAAAUACUACAUUCAAAGUGUCCCUUUCUGAUUCAUAUCUAAGAGAUCUGCUUUAAUCGUUUGAAAAUGUGUUCAGCUCAAACCAGAGCUGCUUCACAUUUGACACAUUGGGAAAGUGAUUGGCACUGUCUGGGUCUAAUGCAAAACAGCUGUGUUAUACUUGAAAGAAUUGUUUUGGUCUCAAAAUGCCAUGUUUUAAUACAAAACAGUUUACAUUUAAAAUGUUUUGCACAUUACUGGAUAUAAAUAUAUUCCAUCAAAAGCAGCGUUGUAUGCUUUGUAAACAUGCAGUUCCCAGCCAUGGGUUUGCUAAUGAAUAUAGGAAAGAGACAGUUUAGAAUCCUGCUGUAUAUUUCCUGGAUGCUCCUAAUUUUCAGCAAAUUGGGCCUCUUCCUUCUCUUUAUUCUGCUGUGUCAGUGGCCUGGAGUUUAUCAGAAGGAAGCAUGUGUUGGCCCCAAAUAUUAAUACAACUGCAAUAUGCUUGCACACUCUCAUUGCCUAGAGAGAAAGAAGUGUACUGUUAAACAUAAACUUUUUUUAAUGUGCAAAAGCUGAUUGUAUCCUAUGGCCACUUGGCCUUGAAAAUUAUUUUAAACAUACUGUGAAGAAGGAAGAGGAUCACAAUCAUGGUGGCACUGAAAUAAGGAAGUUUUGCUUUGCAGAAUAAGUACCGUGUCACAAACUUGUUUUGAGCAAUAGUAUCUAGAAAACAUAGGACGGUGAACUUCAUAUGUUGUUGUUUUUUUUAGUUCUGGUGGUGCUUUUGAAUCAAUGUUGACACCUGGUAAGUGCCUGGACAAGUCACUGUAGUUUUCUUGACGAGAUUUCAGAAGUGGUUUGCCCUUGCUUUCUUCAUAGGACUGAGAGAGCACUAGCCCAAAGUCACCUAGCUGGCUUCGUGCCUAAGGCAGGACUAGAACUCAUGGUUUCUCUGUUUCUACCUGUUGUCAACCACUAGCACCAGCUGGCUCUCUGUUUUAUUCUUCUUGCUGUGUAGCUUGGGUUAUAUGCCUUUAAAUUAUACAUGUUUGGAGUAUAGUCUGGAGUUUGAGCAUAUUUAUUAUCUAAACAGGUGUUUCAACUGUAAAAAGAAAAAUGCAUAACUGGGUGUGGAGAUUGUCCUCAAAUUACAACUGGUCACUUAAUAAUUGUUUAAAGUUACGAGGGUAAAUAAAUAAAUAACCUUUAAAAGGUUAUUUAUGUUCUGUCCUCAAAGUUACAGGUGCAAUACCACCCUGGCAGUGGUAUGAUUGCAUUUUGGGCACUUGGCAUUCAGUUUGCAUUUGUAAUUGGUUACAGCAACCUGUAGAUAAUAUGAACACAUUUUAUCUUGUAUAUUAAAACAAGCUAGUUUUAUAAAUAAUAAUUAAGGACAACUACAGUUAACUGUACUAAUAAAGUACAACAAUAACAUUCUUUCUAGCAGAUGCAUCCAAAAAAGAACUGAUCCAAAUAACUGAUUUUUAUAAAUUUAAACAUCCAAUAUACAAAAAAGGUUUAGCAUUUCAUAUGAAUGGAGGUAGAUUCAUGCUAAGCCAGGCUUCUCCAAACUCCUAAGCAUCAAUGGGACUAGCUGUUGUUAUUUGUAGUACUUGUUAAUAUUGGUAUCUAGUAGUAUUUAUUAAAUUAUUUUCAUAUAAAUGAUUGGAGAUCGAUGAACAAUAUGCAAUUUCAUGAAAAGGUCCAUGAGUUUGGGGGCCACUAAAUUGUAAUGUAGUUUGGCUUUGACUUUAAUCUGAUGUGUGAAAUUUAAGAUUUGUCAGUUGCUGUUACUGUAUCUGCAAACCAGCCUGAUUGAAAGAAAUAAUUAUUUUUGGUCUAAAAAAUAAUGAUUUAUUGGGACUUGACCAGCUCUUUACAUUUUGAAGUAAGAUGUAAUGGACCAGCAAUGGGGGAAUGGAAUUAGAAUAUGGAUGAAGAUGAUAAUGUUUCCUCUGCCAUGGAAACAGAAUAUUGUGGUCUGUCUAGAGCAGGGAGUUAGAUGUUUUUGGAGAUCCUUAGUCAUCCAGGUUAUGGUUGUUCAAGAGAUGCUUUUCCAAAAGCAGCUGGAUUUUCUUUGUUAUCCUUUGAAGACAUUUUGCUUCUCAUCCCAAGAAGCUUCUUCAGUUCUUGUAUGAGAAGUUGAAUAUCUUUAAGGAAAAACAAAGAAAGUCCAGUUGCUUUUUGAAAAGCACCUUUGGGUCUGUGAGCUAGCUUUGCUCUUUUCUAAUGCACAGGCCAAAUAGGAUCCAAACUCCUAAUUGUGCAAAGUUAAAUUUAACAAAUGCAAAUUACAGGCUCACACUUGGCCUCCAACCAAGAGAUUCAUUAGUAUUGAAACUUCAAAAACACCAGGUGCAAGCACAACCAAUAUUCUUUAGAAAAGAGGUAACAAUUCUUAGCAGAUGCACAGACACCAAACAUUGAUUUUUAGCUCAAUGGAUGGAUUUGUAUUCAGCAAUCGUCUGCUAGUUGUUUAUCUUGAAUUCUGGACCAGGAGGGUGCAAAGGUACAGAAAAUCCCUGAUGCAAUCUGUAAAUAUUGUUCCUUUUUACCAGAAAUGUCAGAGGACAAUGGCACAACAAAUGUCACAAGCUAAGUGGUCUGUUUAUUGUUGGCAUCUAUCUUUUUGCUCCUGUCAAGUUUCCUCUAGUUAUUUGCUCCUUCAGAAAGGAGCUUUGAAAAGGCUGGGAGGACCAGAGGCAACAACAGCCAACUGGGUUAAUGGGCUUUCCUCUAGUUUUUAAGUUAGCAAAAAUAGGAUGCUGGCAAAGACAGCAUCUGCAGUUAUCAUUAUAGUUGGCUCUGUUUAAGAGCAGUAGUUGGGGGAUUCCUCCUCAGCUUCAUUUCCCCUUCCUACUGAACAUCACCAAUUGGUGGAUGGAACAGCCCUCAAAGACCAAAGAACUAUUCAGUAGACCAGGUUUUUUUGGAACCUUUCCAGAUAAGAAUAGGAUGGGAGCUCACUCACAUGUACUCCAGAUGGCUGCUUCUCAUGAGAUGCCACAGGACAGCAGUCUUCAGAAGGUUUCAGUGUCAGGAUAUAAAGGGAUUGGUCAUCUUGUUCACAACUGCAGUGGAGCAUUUUAAAACUUAGGUCCCCAACCCCAAGGCAGCAGCCUGGUCCUGGGUUGGGACACAUUUAGAACUGGGCCGUACAUAUUAGAUUUGCAAAGAAAAGAGUAAGAGACAUAGUUUAUAAGAUAAUAAGAGAUGAACCAAUGAUUUAUAAGGAUAGAGAAAUCCAAACUUUGAAGCAAGUGCCAAGAAGAGUGAAAGAGUAGAGAAGAGAUUACUGCUUUCUGGCAACACAACUGACCAAACAUAAUGUACUAUUUAAGGUGGUUAAUAGCAGAAGGAAUGAUGGUUACAUGGCAGGGGGAAAAAAUCAAGAUUGACAACAUAGAUAAGUCACAAGAACUUUUAGGGACAAAAGAAAAUUACAGCAGCAAGAGAAACUAGAAAGCAGAAGUCAAGAAGACCAACAACGAGAGAUAAAAUAACCAGAACAGGAAGGAAGAAGCAAGGAGGAAAUGGAACAACAUGAAAAAGAAGGAAUAAGAACAAGAGCACAAAGAGACGUAAAGACCAACAGAAGACAGAGACAAGUCAACAAAUAAAACAAUGGAAGAAGAAGUCAAGUUACUAUCAAUAAAUAUUAAUGGACUAAAUUCCCCUACUAAAAGAAAACAAAUACUUGCAAAAUUAGCUAAACUGAUUGUGGACAUAGUGUACCUGCAAGAGGUACAUAUGAAAAAGCAGCACGGUAAUUAUUUAGAAUAUUCAAAAUUAGGAACGCUGUACACACACUAGCAGAUCAAAAAAGAGAGGAGUAGCUGCAUAUGUGAAGGAAAAGUUAAAGGCUAAACAAAUUUAUGCAGACAAAACAGAAGAAUAUUAAUGAUUGAAUUAAUGAUAUGUCAAAAACAAAUGUUUCUGGUGGUAAUAUACGCUCCAAACGAUAAUCAGAAAGAGUUUUACAGUAAAUUAUAGGGGAAAAUAAUAGAAAUAGGACGGGGAAUAUAUGUUUAGUUGGUGACUUUAACGCAAUAGUAGACAUAAAAAAAAGAUUAUAUAAACAACAACAAAAAACAAGAAGAAAAAAGGAAAGUCUUACCAACACCUUUUUUGAGAUGAUGCACAAAUUAAAUCUGGUGGACUUGUGGAGAAACCUAAACCCAAAUAAGAAUAAAUAUACUUUUUCUCCAACUCACAUAACUCAUGGUCAAGGAUAGACAUGGUUCGGAUGAAUGGGGAAUUAGGGAAAGAUAUAGACACAAUGGAAAUUAUGCCAAAUAUAUGGGUGGACCACAAUCCCCUACAGGUAACUUGGAAAGGCCAAAAGGAGGAGGAGGAGGAGGAGGAGGAGGAGGAGGAGGAGGACACAGAUAUUAAAAGAAGAAGAAUAUACCCCCACCCCCCAAAAAAGGAAUUGAAAUUAUUUUUUAGGGAAAAUACUAAGCAACAUACAUCACUGCAGAAUCUAUAGGACACCACAAAGCCUAUGUGCAAGGAAUGACGAUAGCAUAUACAGCGAGAAGAAACAAAGAAAAAUGGAGAUGACAAAAUUAGCUACAGGAAGAGAUUAAAAAAAUAGAAAUUCAAUUACAAAAAGAAUCACAGAAUAAUACAAUUAAAGGGCAAGUGGCUUUAGCCAGACAUAAAUUAAGUGUCUCAAAUUAGAAAGGGCACAAAAUCUAAAAUCUGCAAAACAGAACUUUUUUGAAUUUGCAAAUAAACCAGGGAGAUGGCUGGCUUAUAAAUUAAAAAAAGAAAAGGAAAAAAGGUUAAUACAUCAUCUACAGGAUGAAAAUGGGGCUUUACAACACCAUAUGGAAGAGAAAAAAAGAAUUACGCAAAAUUACUUUGAAAAGCUUUAUAAACAAGAAGAAAUAACUAAUGAAAAUAUAUUGCAAUAUUGAAAAGAGAAAGGUUUUCUCCCGAUAGCUGAAGAAAAGAGAGAAAUGUUGAAAAGGGAAAUAACGUUAACAGAAUUGAAAAGGGCAAUACAAAGACAGAAAAAUAACAAAUCCCCGGGACCAGAUGGAAUCUCAAGGGAACUUUAUAAGAAUAUAUAUGAAUUGAUGGAGCUUUGAAUGUUAGAAGUGUAUAAUGAAGCAUUGAUAGAGGCUAGAUUGCCAGAAUCCUGGGCUGAGGCAUACAUUACAUUAAUACCCAAAGAGGGCAUAAAUCACCAACAAAUUAAAAACUAUAGGCGAAUGUCGCUGCUAAAUGUCAUUUAUAAAAUAUCACCAUAAUAGCGGAAAGGAUGAAAAAACUACUAAAUGAAAUCAUAUAUUCAGAUCAAAAUGGAUUUCUACCUACAAGACAGAUUAGAAAUAACACAAGGAUGGUGGUAAAUAUACUGGAGUAUUACUAGGCACAUCCC